GUAUCCCUGCCAGAGAACACACAGACAGACUUAAAGCCAAAUGGUCUUUAGUCUCAACAGCUCAUGGCUGCACCGAGUCACGUAGCCCCAGGCCUUCCUGUUCUUAGCUUUUUAUACGCAAAACCCACAGCCUGGAUUGACACACUUCAAUCAGCAGGAACAAGUAGCUGUGAGUGGAGCCACAGAAGCCGAGAAAGCAAGGUUCUGUGCAGAGGACCCCGUUCAAGCAGGCUAUAUCCAGGUGGGAGACAAUCUUGAGGUUCGCUGUCCUGUGGGCACCCAGUUGCUUCACUGGCACCCAUUGGAACGGUCAUGUCUCCCUGCUUUCCUGACCAUCUUUGCAACGCUUCCCAACCCAGAGCCAGCAGGAUGUUUUUCUGAGUCCUGAUUCCAUGCAAUGACCUGUCGCCCAUUCUCUACCAACACACAGCAUCUCGGUUUCUCUGUGUGUGUCUGUGUUCACAGAAAAUCUCAAACUCAGGUGGUGUCACUGUGCCAGCUCUGUUCUGCUUCCAAAAUAAUUUUAGAUAUUCUUAAAACAUCUCUCAAAAUUGCAUUUCUAUAAAAACUUUACCAUCACCUUGACGAACUGGACAGAAAAACUGCCUGGAAUUUUGAUUGGGAGAGUGAUGGCGCUUCAGAUGAAUUUAUAGAGAAAAGAAGAAAACUGAUGACUGUUUCAAGCAACAUGAACGUCAGACCACUCUGUUUAGACCAACCUUAAUUUCAUUUAUUUUUGUUUAUAGUGCACAUAUACAUAUGCAAAAAUAUCACAUGUGGAGGUCAGAGGACAAGUUGUUUUAUUAGGGAUGAGAGAGAGAAGUGGAGAGCUAUAGUUUUAAAAAAUCUAUUGAAAAGUUCAACCUCACUGGUAAAGCCAGAAAUUUGAAGUGAGCGAGCCUAGCACUGGUGGGUUUUGACAUUACUAAGUUGAUAAGUUUGCUCUAGAAACAACAUACAAAUUUCCUUAGCAAUAUAAAGCUAUAUGUAUAUAUAUGUAUUAUAAUACAGAUUAUAUAUAUAUAUAUGUGUAUAUGUAUAUAUAUAUAUAUAUAUAUAUAUAUACACACACACACACACACACAAACAUACUGUCUUUUCCAGAGUAUUUCAAAAUGGGACUGGAGAGAUGGUACACACACACACACACACACACACACUCAUAAAUAAAAAAGUGUUUAAGUGCAAACAAUUCAUAGAAGUCUGAAAAUUCUGUGAGUAUUCACAGGACCCGCAGUGGGGCAAAGGUCAGUUUUAGCAGGAUAGAAGUCAACAGCCAUGACGGAAAGAAUUGACAUCUAACUGUAUAAAAGUGUAAAAUUCCUAUAGAUCAAAGAUGCUGUGGAGAGCCUGGAUCAUGGCUCAGGUUUUAGAGGGCACGUCUAGCAUGCAUGAAGCCAGGGUUUGGUCCCCAGCACUGCAUCAACAGGGGAUGGUAGCUUGUGCCUAUAAGCCCAGCACUGGGAAGAGAGAAACAGGAAGGUCUGUAGUUCAGGAUCCUCCACUUCACAGUGAGCGUCACAGCCUGGGACAGAUGAGCUGGAGAGACUGAACUCCCCUAUAAACCCUCAGUGAUGUGCUUCCCACAGGUAGGCGGGAUUACAGGUGGGGGGGGGUGGACAGCUCUUCCCUCACUCCCAUGUCCCAGUGCAAUCAUCAAUUAUCAUUCACAGCAAGGGAAGGGUGGCUCAGAAGGCAGAGCCCAGAGAACCAAACUGUGAUGACCUCUGCUCCCGCCAUUAUACAAUCCCCUCCCACACCAAACAGGGCUGAUGUGGGUACCAACAGAGCUAGCUGCAGCAAUGACAGGGUCAUGAAUAAGUCAAGAGAGUGUGGUAGCUUCCAGCAUCACACCCUUAAAUUACCCCAUUGGGCAGCCAAGUAGGCAUUGCAUCCCAGGUUUGAAGACUCUGGAAAGCUGCGAUGGUUGCUCUCCGUAGGGAACUGUCGGAGGUGGACUUGGAAAUGUGGACUGUCUGGUUUCAUGGCAGACUGGGAACGAAGCUCAGUCAGUGCUUGCCUGUGUAUGAAGCCUUG
rnacentral:lncRNA from 1 species